CCCUAGUAUAAUUUUAUUGGAGUUAAUUAGUAAAUGUAUAAAAAUUAAAAAUUUUGGCGGUUAAUUAUAUUAUUAGAGGAGCUUGUUUAAAUGAGAAUUUACUCUUUAUAUCUUAAUAUUUAUUAGUUUAUUCAUUUCUGUUAUUUGGUGGGAAGUUGAAUUUAAUUUUUUUUUUUUAUUUCAGGUCAAGAUGUAGCAUAUAAUAUAUUUAAGAUUAGCUACAAUUAUUAAAAUAAUAUAUAAUGAUUUGUAAUAAAUUUAUUAUAAAUUGGAUUUAGUUGUAAUAAUUAUUAGAAUGUAAUUAUGAUUUUGUAUAAUUAAUGU
rnacentral:rRNA from 1 species